AUUGAACGCUGGCGGCAGGCUUAACACAUGCAAGUCGAGCGAGCGGCGGACGGGUGAGUCAUGUCUGGGAAACUGCCUGAUGGAGGGGGAUACUUACUGGAAACGGUAGCUAAUACCGCAAACCAUUAGAUGUGCCAAGAUGGGAUUGGCUAGUAGGUGGGGUAAUGGCUCACCUAGGCGACGAACCUUAGUUGGUCUGAGAGGAUGACCAGCCACCCUGGAACUGAGACACGGUCCAGACGCCUACGGGAGGCAGAAGUGGGGAAUAUUCCCCAAUGGGCGCAAGCCUGAUGCAGCAAUGCCGCGUGUGUGAAGAAGGCCUUCGGGUUGUAAAGCACUUUCAGCGAGGAGGCGUUACUCGAAGAAGAAGCACCGGCUAACUCCGUGCCAGCCGCCGCGGUAAUAC
rnacentral:rRNA from 1 species